rnacentral:rRNA from 1 species
GCGGCGGACGGGUGAGUAAUGCCUAGGAAUCUGCCUGAUAGUGGGGGACAACGUUUCGAAAGGAACGCUAAUACCGCAUACGUCCUACGGGAGAAAGUGGGGGAUCUUCGGACCUCACGCUAUCAGAUGAGCCUAGGUCGGAUUAGCUAGUUGGUGGGGUAAUGGCCCACCAAGGCGACGAUCCGUAACUGGUCUGAGAGGAUGAUCAGUCACACUGGAACUGAGACACGGUCCAGACUCCUACGGGAGGCAGCAGUGGGGAAUAUUGGACAAUGGGCGAAAGCCUGAUCCAGCCAUGCCGCGUGUGUGAAGAAGGUCUUCGGAUUGUAAAGCACUUUAAGUUGGGAGGAAGGGCAGUAAAUUAAUACUUUGCUGUUUUGACGUUACCGACAGAAUAAGCACCGGCUAACUCUGUGCCAGCAGCCGCGGUAAUACAGAGGGUGCAAGCGUUAAUCGGAAUUACUGGGCGUAAAGCGCGCGUAGGUGGUUUGUUAAGUUGAAUGUGAAAGCCCCGGGCUCAACCUGGGAACUGCAUCCAAAACUGGCAAGCUAGAGUACGGUAGAGGGUGGUGGAAUUUCCUGUGUAGCGGUGAAAUGCGUAGAUAUAGGAAGGAACACCAGUGGCGAAGGCGACCAC